AUGGGACUGGGGCCAGAUGGGGAGCGUGGCCUCGGGGGGCUUUUGUGGCUGUUUUUCUUUCUGAGGCAGCUGCUGGCUAGAGGAGGGGUUUGGAGAAAUGGCUUAGCGUGGCCCCCGAAGAGCUGUGCCCUGCUCUCUCCCCUCCCUGGGUGGCUGGACAUCCUCAGGUGCUUGUGGCAGAGGAGGAUGGUGGUGGGCCCUGGACACGGCUCCACACCAUGUGCUGGCCACAGAGCUGCCAGGUCCUGUCCCCUUGGUACCAGCUGGGCACAGAGACUGUUCCGGGGGGUGUAUCCCUCAUGCUGGGAAAGCCCUUUGGUAUCCCGGCAAGGAGCUCUGGCUCUGCUUAGGAUGUGACAACAGCCAAGCAGCACCUUGGGCAGAGAAAGCAUCAUCAGGACUGUGUGCCAGGGGAAGAGGGGGUGCCAUGGGGAGCUCAGUGGGGACCAGCACAGGUCCAGGUCAUCAUCAUCAGGCGUUGCCUGUGAGAAGGUGCCUCCAGGUUGGAAAAUGUCUUGAUGUGUAAUUAGAGAAUCAUUAAGUAGGACUGGCUGUGGGCCUGUGGUGACUCGGUCUCUUCAUCUCAUUUGCUGUCAUGCAACAGCCCAAAUCCAGUAGAAGCCUAUGGUGGCUUCUGUUGCCAGACCUCGUUGCUGGUGGGUGGAGGACCUGUGCAGAGCAAGUGGCUGAGAGGCCGCUGAGAGUCUUGGGUGUGUUUUUAUAGGGAGACUGUCUGGUUGGAAGUAGCUGCGUUUUGUACCUGGGGGAGUAGGUCAAUCUCCAUCACUGUGCCUUUGGGUCACGUUCUGUAGUGUGAGGUGAGAGGUGAAGGAAACACCAGGAAGCCCAUGGGUGUCAGGAGCAUGGUGCUGGGUGGGGAGGCAGGGGCUGGCCUGAGGGGCCCAUGGAUGUCUCCUGGGAGUUACACCAUGAAGGGCUCUCUCCUAACUGCUGGUUUUUCCUUUGCAAACCAAAGAGCAGUUGUGGCCAAAGCCUCUUGGGAGUAAAAUGUGUUUCUACUCUGUCCCUGUGUUGCACUUCCCUGCUGGCAUUUCUUACAAGAGACUUUUGGACGUCUUCAUGCUGCCUCUGCUUGGCCUCUCGCCUCACUCACCGCCCCACAGGACCCAAAAGGGUCGCCAUGCUGGAGAUGGUGUUGCAUCAUCCCCUGUGGCUAGUGCUCACACAUGUCUUCAAGAACUGCUUGCCAGCUUGCCUGAGGAUGCUCUGUAGGCUGGAGUAGGGAAUGGUCCCUCCAAAGGGCCAUUCUCUUUGGCAGGCAGCUUGAGUAUAGGAUGCUGCUGAGGAGGCGGCAGGGAGGCUUAGGCUGGCUGGAGGUGGUGGAGACGUUGUCCAG
rnacentral:lncRNA from 1 species